AGGCAGCGCCUCUUGUGUGUCUGCCUGUCUCUCCCUUUCUGUCUGGGCUCAGCUGCCAGGUGCGCCUGCUCCGCCUGCGCGCUCCCUUUCCCUCCUCGCUCUCCGUCCGGGGCUCCUUAAAAUAGUGCUCGUUCAAUGCACCAGCCUGACUCAGCGGCAGACACCAGCGUCGGGAAGAUGGCGCACCCGGCGAUGCUUCCUCGGAGGGGCAGCAGCGGCGGCGGCGGAGGAGCAGCAGCAGGAGGAGGCAGCAGCAGCAGCAGCAGCAGCAGCGUCGCGGUGCCGGCCUUGUGUCCGGCAGGCAUCGGCGUCGGAGGCAGCAGCGGCGGCUUGGAAGAUUACCCGCCGCCCUUGCUGGUUCAGCCGCCGCCGCCGCCGCCUCCCUCCUCCGCAGCGCCGUCGUCUUCUCCCGGGCUGCCUCCUCCGCAGAGCCUGACCCUCCUCUCGACGCCGCAGCCCCUCGGCCAGGCAGGAGCCCAGAUGAAGAAGAAAAGCGGCUUCCAGAUCACCAGCGUGACCCCCGCCCAGAUCUCGGCCAGCCUCAGCUCCAACAACAGCAUCGCCGAGGACACGGAGAGCUACGACGACCUGGACGAGUCGCACACCGAGGACUUGUCCUCUUCCGAGAUCCUGGACGUCUCCUUGUCCAGGGCCACGGACUUGGGGGAACCGGAGCGGAGCUCCUCGGAAGAGACUCUGAACAACUUCCAGGAGGCCGAGAGCCCUGGCGCUGUCUCCCCCAACCAGCCUCGCCUUCUGCAGCAGCAGCACCCCUCUUUGCCACAUCCCUCUCAGCAUCAGAGUGUGGCCAUCAAUGGCAGCAUGCACCCUUCUCAGGGACAUCAUUAUCACCACCACCACGGACAUCACCAUGCGCCACACUCCGGGAUGGUGGGCCCAGCGGCUCCCGGAGGACCGCCGUUUAGCCCUUCGUUUAGAAAACUGUCUACCGCUGCAAGCUCUGAUAGCGUUGUGGCAGCUGCCGUGCCCGUUUCUGCUGCAUCAUCUGCUGGUAUGCCUGUGGCCGCUCUUGUGUCUCAUUUCCACGCUGCUGGUACACCUGGGGUCACUUCAGCCGGCGGAGCUACGACCAGCACUUUAAGCAGCGAGACUAGUGGUAGCUCCAGUGGGGUGAGCAGUAUGCCUGGUCCCGUUAAUGUGAAUCUAAGUAACUUCACAAGUACUGGUAGCAUAACUAGUGGCAGUGUUAAUGUGGCGGUCUCGAGUGGGCUUGGCAAUGGCACGAGUACUUCCUCUAGCGCUGGGAAUUCCAGUGCAGGAGGAGUUGCUGCUGCAGCAGCAGGAACAUAUAGUCAACUGCAGCCUGCGGCCAGCACCUCGAGAUUCAGAGUUGUGAAACUGGAUUCUAGUUCAGAACCUUUCAAGAAGGGUAGAUGGACAUGCACAGAGUUCUACGACAAAGAGAACCUCGUGCCAGUUGCAGAAGGAGUAGCUGUAAAUAAAGCGUUAGACACUCUCAAACAAAAUUCACUUGACGUGACUUCUGAAAGGGAGAGCACCAGUGGGAGCUCAGUUAGUAGCAACGUAAGCACACUGAGUCACUAUACUGAAAGUGUGGGAAGUGGGGAGAUGGGCGCACCAGCGGUGGCACAGCCGCCACCAUUUCACGCAGCAGGUUCUCAGCAGUUGGAUUUUGGCAGCACCGGCCCUCAACCUGCUCCAGCACCCAGCAUACCCCAGAGCGUUUCUCAGUCACAGCUUGCACAGCCACAGCUUCAUCCUCAAGAUGUAAAUUAUCCUCCUCAAAAGCAAGGGGUCCAGCCUCCUGCAUCAGCUGUCCCUCCUCCAGUAAAUAUAGUAGGUGGCCAUCAACAGCCUGCCAUGGCACAGCAGCUGCCAUACACCCAAUCGACGCAGCCUGUGCCACCUGUUCCGGUUGUGCCACAACUGCACCAGUUGCCGUAUGGGCAAGGACAGGCACAGCAUCCACCACCACAGCAGCAGCAGCAGCAACAGCAGCAGGUACCUCUGCAGAUGGCCCCAGGGCAUGUUAAACCAGUGAAUCAGACUUCUGUCACAGGGCCUAUGCCAGAUUACGUGCAACAGCAGCAAAUGCUUCAGACUCCAGCUUCUAUGCAGCCAGGACCUACAAUGGUAGGAACGGCUCUGCCUGCGCCUGUUGCUCAGGCACCAAGUAUGCAGCCUUCGGUACAAGCACACCUGGCAGUAGCAUCCUCCCAGCCUGCUGCACAUGCUCAGACAGCAAUGCUGACCUCAGGAGCUGGUGCUCAAACAGUGAACGUUGGACAACAAGGAAGUGUACCUCCCAUGGUGCAGCAACCAGCAGUUGCAAAUCCAAUUGCUCCUUCGGUAGUGGCACAGAGCGCUCCUCCUCCAUCUUCCCAUGUGGUACCCCCUGUUCCAGCAGGCGUCGUUCAUCCUGGGUUGCAAGGUAGCACAUCAAGCCUUCCUCAGCCCUUGGUUAUUGUUCCACAGAGUACUUUGUUACCUGUGCAAGCGGCAGAAUCCCUUGUUCCAGGAAUGGCUGGUCAACAAUUGCCUGCUGUUAGUCCUGUACCUUCUGCCAGUGCUGCUUCUGUCCCAUGCCAGUCGGCUGCAAACGUGUUGCCCACACCUAUGAGUUUGCCUCCUUCAAAGAACAUAGCACAAUCAUCAUCAGGUGCGCAAAAUGGGAACUUGGUCCAAAAUGUGUCUACUAGCAUCAAUUUGCCCGCAGUCCAAAAUGUGCCACAACAGGUACCACCACUGAACUCUGCCCAGUUUUCUGCCCAGUCUCUUGUUCAGUCAAUUACAACCCGAAGUGAAGAUUCCAAACGCUCUACGGAACAACCCACCUUGGUUGGCCUACCCCAAACCACCAGUGGAGAAAGUGGCGCUGGAGCAUCAUCAGCCAUGUCAGAUGGAGGCAGCAGCAUGGCCGCCUCUCUUUUCCCCCUGAAGGCACUUCCGCUGACAGUGCAACUUGUUGAUGGUGAGGAUGAGAGUUGUUUCUUCUAAUUUGCUAAACUCUCUUAACUUCUGACUGGAGAAAUGAGUGGAGAAAUGAAACUUCUUCAGAGGCAACAGACAACACUUUCCCCUGACUUUAGAGACUGCCAUGAAGGAUGCAUUCCAUAACUUGAAUGCAAAGCGGAACACAGCCGUACAUCCUUACAGAUACAGAGUGACUGAGUCUUAACAUUGCUCACUAGUAUGCCCGUGAAGAGGCAUGGCCAAAGUUAAUUAUGUCUAGAGCAAAAUCUGGGCGGUCUGGCUGAGCCAAGCAGGUAUGUAAAGAUGCUUUGUUUGUGAAACAAAAUAAUGUAAGCCAACACAUACUUGAUUACCAGUAUUGCAAAAACCACAGAAUCGCUCUAGAGGUGAUUUUCUGAGGACAGAGUAGCCCUUUACGUAUUGUUGCAGCUAUAUUUGUGAUUUAUAUUUCCCCCACUCCCAAAACAUCCCUCUUCUAUAGGAGUGCAAUGUGGCUUUGCCAGUUUAGUAGGCCUUUAGCAAGAAGAAUCCACGAUUAUGGAUGCCAUAAAGAUAUGCCUUUAAAACACAGGCAAACUAUUCAGUUGUAUGCUUAGCAGUGGUUCUAGACCUUGUGGCUCCUCUUUUUACAGGCAUUUCAAUUUGGCAUUUCACAAAAGUAUACUACUGUACAUAUGCAUGGAAAUAAAAUUCAGCCUCAAGUAAAUCAAAGAGUAUAUCAUAUUCAGGGAAUGUGUGAUUAGAUCACUAAUCUGCUUUGAGACUACAGCUAGAGAUCAGAGAUUGAAGAAUAUCAAUAGGAGAGGUAAUUUUGUGUGAAAUAAAAUUUCAGUAACAUGGAAUUGUGGUCAUCCUCUGAAUGAUGACAGUAUAAAUAUUUGAAGCCUUCUUCUCUGCAAGAGAUGAUCACUGUUUUCAAGAACAACAGUAUUUCUGAAACUUCCUAUCAGUUGCAGAGAUUCCCGUUUUGUGAGCUUUUAUCUCCCAGAUUUAUCUCUGAUUUGACGUUUCAGUUUGUAAUUUUGCAUUACUAGUACGUCUAUUGGAAUAACACGACAUUUUCUUGUUUCAAAUAGUGUACCCAGUCAUGGCUUAGCUUGCUCAGUCUGUUCUGGUGGUAAAUAAAUACGUCAAGGGAAUAUUGUGAUCUCCAAUGUAAAAUCUGCUGUUCAGAUGUUAAGUUACUGUUAGAGAGCUAGGCUUGUCCAAAACAAAUUGUUUUCUGAAGUAUCAUGGUGCCAUUUUCUAUACAGCCCCUGUUUAGAACAAGAAUAUGUGCAUUCUUGAACAGGUGCAUAUUAAUUAAGACACUAUUCUCUCUUCACUGGACAUGUACCAUCUGGCUAGAAUUAAUUAUUUUUGGGGAGCAUUUCUGAUUGCGUGUAAAGAAAUCAGCAUUUCACCAUCACUUACUUUAUUUGAGUUCUCUGUAGAAGAUAAACAUCUGAAGAAGUUACGGAGACCAUGGGAUGAAAUGAGUCAAUAGCGAAUCCAGUUUGAAAGAAUACUGAUAGAAUGACUGAGCAGGUUUCCUUAAAUGUUUUGCUCUUCCUGGAACUAGGGGGAAAAUGCCACCAGAAAUAAAUAAGUAAAGGCAGAACUGAAGUCCUGGAGGGCUUGGACCUUUGUAUGGAAGAACAGCGAGGAUGGCAAACAGCUGAAGAAUUAAAGAAAUCUGUCUGUCCUGGAUCCCAUUUUUAGUCUCCAAAGCGAAUGGCGUCAUGGUUUUUAUUAUUGUCCAAAAUAAGAUUAAAUAUUGGACAAAGCAUGUAAUCUUUUAAGCAGUGUUUCAUGCUUUCCACUGUUUGGAAGUGGAAGAUUAUUUUAUUACUCCAAGCAACAUUUUGAAAAUACUUAACGAGCUCUCACUUGUGCAAGGUGACUAGAGGUUAUUACUACCAGAGUAAUUGGGUUACUGCUAAUAAAUAUUUAAAGCCAGAUAAAACAUGCUUUUUGGUUGGCCUGUAGAGCUGUGUGGUUUUAUUUGCAAUUUGGCGCAUUUAAACUUCGAAGUUGGUGCUUGGCUUUGUAUAAGGGGUUGAAUAAGAAUAAAUUUGAAGAACUUAAAAUUUACUUGACUAACUUUUUGCAAGGAACUUUUAUUAGUUCAUCUAAGAGAUUAUAUGACUAGGGGUUGUAUCCAGUGC